rnacentral:rRNA from 1 species
GACGAACGCUGGCGGCGUGCUUAACACAUGCAAGUCGAACGGAAAGGCCCUGCUUUUGUGGGGUGCUCGAGUGGCGAACGGGUGAGUAACACGUGAGUAACCUGCCCUUGACUUUGGGAUAACUUCAGGAAACUGGGGCUAAUACCGGAUAGGAGCUCCUGCUGCAUGGUGGGGGUUGGAAAGUUUCGGCGGUUGGGGAUGGACUCGCGGCUUAUCAGCUUGUUGGUGGGGUAGUGGCUUACCAAGGCUUUGACGGGUAGCCGGCCUGAGAGGGUGACCGGCCACAUUGGGACUGAGAUACGGCCCAGACUCCUACGGGAGGCAGCAGUGGGGAAUAUUGCACGAUGGGCGGAAGCCUGAUACAGCAACGCCGCGUGCGGGAUGACGGCCUUCGGGUUGUAAACCGCUUUCGCCUGUGACGAAGCGUGAGUGACGGUAAUGGGUAAAGAAGCACCGGCUAACUACGUG